rnacentral:rRNA from 1 species
AGUGAACGCUGGCGGCGUGCCUAAUACAUGCGAGUCGAACGGAGAUUAAGUAGCUUGCUAUUUAAUCUUAGUGGCGCACGGGUGAGUAAUAUAUAGCUAACUUGCCCAUUACUAAGGGACAACAGUUGGAAACGACUGCUAAUACCUUAUACUCCGUAUCUAUAUAAGUAGAUACGGGAAAGUUUUUCGGUAAUGGAUAGGGCUAUAUCGUAUCAGCUAGUUGGUAAGGUAAUGGCUUACCAAGGCUAUGACGCGUAACUGGUCUGAGAGGAUGAUCAGUCACACUGGAACUGAGACACGGUCCAGACUCCUACGGGAGGCAGCAGUAGGGAAUAUUGCUCAAUGGGGGAAACCCUGAAGCAGCAACGCCGCGUGGAGGAUGACACUUUUCGGAGCGUAAACUCCUUUUCUUGGGAAAGAAUUAUGACGGUACCCAAGGAAUAAGCACCGGCUAACUCCGUG